AUUGAACGCUGGCGGCAGGCCUAACACAUGCAAGUCGAGCGGUAGAGAGAAGCUUGCUUCUCUUGAGAGCGGCGGACGGGUGAGUAAUGCCUAGGAAUCUGCCUGAUAGUGGGGGAUAACGUCCGGAAACGGACGCUAAUACCGCAUACGUACUACGGGAGAAAGUGGGGGCUCUUCGGACCUCACGCUAUCAGAUGAGCCUAGGUCCGAUUAGCUAGUUGGUGGGGUAAAGGCUCACCAAGGCGACGAUCCGUAACUGGUCUGAGAGGAUGAUCAGUCACACUGGAACUGAGACACGGUCCAGACUCCUACGGGAGGCAGCAGUGGGGAAAAUUGGACAAUGGGCGAAAGCCUGAUCCAGCCAUGCCGCGUGUGUGAAGAAGGUCUUCGGAUUGUAAAGCACUUUAAGUUGGGAGGAAGGGCCGUUACCUAAUACGUGACGAUUUUGACGUUACCGACAGAAUAAGCACCGGCUAACUCUGUGCCAGCCGCCGCAGUAAAAC
rnacentral:rRNA from 1 species